GCAUCGAUAGCUCAAUGGCAGAGCGGUGGGACGAUACCCCAUGCGGCCCGUGUACGAGCCCCGGUCGAUGCA